rnacentral:rRNA from 1 species
GUGGAGCAUGUGGUUUAAUUCGAAGCAACGCGAAGAACCUUACCUACUCUUGACAUUCCAGUGAACUUAGCAGAGAUGCUUUGGUGCCUUCGGGAACACUGAGACAGGUGCUGCAUGGCUGUCGUCAGCUCGUGUUGUGAAAUGUUGGGUUAAGUCCCGUAACGAGCGCAACCCUUGUCCUUAGUUACCAUCAUUAAGUUGGGGACUCUAAGGAGACUGCCGGUGACAAACCGGAGGAAGGCGGGGACGACGUCAAGUCAUCAUGGCCCUUACGAGUAGGGCUACACACGUGCUACAAUGGCAUGUACAGAGGGCAGCAAUGCCGCGAGGUGGAGCGAAUCCCACAAAGCUUGUCGUAGUCCGGAUCGGAGUCUACAACUCGACUCCGUGAAGUCGGAAUCGCUAGUAAUCGUGGAUCAGAAUGCCACGGUGAAUACGUUCCCGGGCCUUGUACACACCGCCCGUCACA